AACGAACGCUGGCGGCAUGCCUAACACAUGCAAGUCGAACGAGACCUUCGGGUCUAGUGGCGCACGGGUGCGUAACGCGUGGGAACCUGCCUUUAGGUUCGGAAUAACUCAGAGAAAUUUGAGCUAAUACCGGAUAAUGUCUUCGGACCAAAGAUUUAUCGCCUUUAGAUGGGCCCGCGUUGGAUUAGCUAGUUGGUGGGGUAAAGGCCUACCAAGGCGACGAUCAUAGCUGGUCUGAGAGGAUGAUCAGCCACACUGGGACUGAGACACGGCCCAGACUCCUACGGAGGCAGCAGUGGGGAAUAUUGGACAAUGGGCGAAAGCCUGAUCCAGCAAUGCCGCGUGAGUGAUGAAGGCCUUAGGGUUGUAAA
rnacentral:rRNA from 1 species